rnacentral:rRNA from 1 species
AUUGAACGCUGGCGGCAGGCUUAACACAUGCAAGUCGAGCGGAGAUGAGGUGCUUGCACCUUAUCUUAGCGGCGGACGGGUGAGUAAUGCUUAGGAAUCUGCCUAUUAGUGGGGGACAACAUUCCGAAAGGAAUGCUAAUACCGCAUACGUCCUACGGGAGAAAGCAGGGGAUCUUCGGACCUUGCACUAAUAGGUGAGCCAAAGUCGGAUUAGCUAGUUGGUGGGGUAAAGGCCUACCAAGGCGACGAUCUGUAGCGGGUCUGAGAGGAUGAUCCGCAACACUGGGACUGGGACACGGCCCAGACUCCUACGGGAGGCAGCAGUGGGGAAUAUUGGACAAUGGGGGAAACCCUGAUCCAGCCAUGCCGCGUGUGUGAAGAAGGCCUUAUGGUUGUAAAGCACUUUAAGCGAGGAGGAGGCUACUGAGACUAAUACUCUUGGAUAGUGGACGUUACUCGCAGAAUAAGCACCGGCUAACUCUGUGCCAGCAGCCGCCGUAA